UACAGAGGUCCCAAGCGUUGUUCGGAUUCACUGGGCGUAAAGGGUGCGUAGGCGGUCGGGUAAGUCUGACGUGAAAUCUCCAAGCUCAACUUGGAAAUGGCGUCGGAUACUAUUCGGCUCGAGGAAUGGAGGGGAGACUGGAAUUCUCGGUGUAGCAGUGAAAUGCGCAGAUAUCAGGAAGAACACCCGUGGCGAAGGCGGCUCUCUGGGACGGUACUGACGCUGAGACGCGAAAGCGUGGGGAGCGAACAGG
rnacentral:rRNA from 1 species